CACUGUUGCACUGGUGCAAUAAGUUAGAAUGAGAAAAAAUAUACUUGUCUUACUUUAACUUAUUGCACCGGUGCAACAGUGCAGCUAGAAAGAACAGACCAAGUAUAUACAGUAGCAUAACUCCCAAUUCUAGCGUGUACAAAAUUGAACUGCACAUGCGCCGGAUAAGUAGGUAACCAAUCACAUCACUGAUUUUCGCAUUUCUUCUCGGUUAAAAACGCUAUUAGUAUAGUCCAGUGCAGCAACAAGAAGCAGAUUUACGAUUGGUUACCUACUUGUGCUCGAUUUCGUACACGCUAACGUCAAAUGUGCCGACCGCAAGUUGCGCUACUGUAUGUACUGUGUUUAUAAUCUUGUAACUAUGUCUUACUACUAGAGAAGAAAUAAUUUUGCGCGUUGCACAUCGAUCGAAUUUGCAAAAUGUCAUGUCCAAAGAUGAGUCACGCACAGUAGAUGUGCAAACAUACACUGAUUCAAGAUGAAAAGACGUAAAUGAACGACAUGAAUGACAUUUUUUCCCCGACGCAAAAUGCUGCACGAAUUGUCAAAGGAGAAAAUAUGAUACAAAUAAAAUAUGAUUGAAUUAAUGCUAUACGAGUCGCAUACAGUCACAUGAGCAUCGAAACACUCACGAUGCGACAACGCGAUAAUCUUUGUACGGGAGAUGGUAAACUGCGGCAAUGGACGACUGCUCAAUCCAAGGAAGAAGAAGAAGAAACCGGCCGACCUAUAUUGCGUGACAACAAAAUUGCUCCAUCGAGAUUACAUCCACGGUUUACGUCUACACAAGCGUUCCGCGUUUUCAGGUGGCCUUCAACACGCGACAUGGGCAGUGGGUUCUGCAGCUUGACCCGUUAAGUUUCGACUUAAGUAGUACUCUACAUUUAAACUGCAAGUACAUUAAUUACAAUCUUUGAACCUUCAAUUUUUUUCCAGUCACUUCAAUCGAAUUAGUCGACUGACGAUAAAUCACGAUCCUUCUGCGAAUCCUGCCUUCAUAUCGUAGGAAAAACUGAAAUUAAUUGAUAGAAUUAAGUUGACUAUUUUGAUUUAUAAAUCAAAUAAAACUGAGAUUGCUAUAAUCGUAUUUGUGCACGUAACAAACUCUGUUGCUCAGUUGCCUGAAGUAAUUCAGCACAGAUGCAUAUUAUUCAAGAAAUCAUAUUAUCAAAAAAUCAUAUAGACGAGUAAAUCUUUUUAAGUAAUCUUUAAUUUAUUUUUAAAUUACUAUGCUAUAAUAAUUAAAAAACAUUAAAGUACCGCGUAGUCACCGAGGGUAAAAGGGAAACAUUUGAAAAUGAAUUUCUUAGUAUAUCGCGACGCGAUACGUCUUUUUCUCUAAAGCUCCCGCUUCGAAUCGAUCGAAUCUUAACGAUAAGACGAAAAACAUACGGAAAAUUACAGAUCGUAAUUAUUAUGUGCUUUGAAAAAAUAAGCAGUAACCAGAACCUAACAAAGUCGCAGGCUGCAAUUCAAGACUUUGACUUUGAUCGAUCGUAUUUAGCUCUAUUUUUUUCGCUGAACAACGAUCGAUAGACGACAAUAUUCCGUCUCUACGCAGUGUCCGAGUAUUAAGGGCAAAGUAUAGUAGGGCGAGUGUAUGUCCGCAUAAUACUCGGGUUAUUGCACGUUAUUGAAUAAAAGCGAAGGUAAACGCGUCACUGCGCGUCAGUUAGAUAAUGUAGACAUAAUGGUUCCGUACGAUUUGAUUGCAUUGCGCGUGAUCGAUCAUUACUCUUAGUUCUUAUCAAACUAAAAUUCGUGAAAGAUUCACAGAUUAACGAUAAAUCAUACCAAAGUUGAAAUAAUUAUCGUGCAGAUACGUAAAAUAUUUAUAUCGUUUAACGAGUUUUUUCGUGAUUUAUUAUUAUGUUAAUUGAGUUAUUGAUUUAUACUUAUAUUAUUAUAAAGAUUAGAAAAUAACAUAAACAACAAUAACAUAAACAUCCUGUAUUAUCAAAAACAUUCACCGAAUUCACAUUUGGAAUUCUAGAAUAAUUUGAAAUUUAUUAUAAACUACGUGUAUGCUCGAGCUGUAAAAAUCUUGAAAAUUUUCUCUUCUUCGUAUUUCCAAAAUAUUUUCGUAAUUUAAAAAAAUUUAACCUUAGCUCUCUUAAAAUACAAAGAUCUUUUUUGUUAAACAGUCGACGUGAAUCAUCCAUAGAUGAGAGUAGAAAAAAAUUUAAACAUCUCGCAAAUAUUGCACAUACACAUAUCACAACAAAAUGGGAUCUUGAUUGUAAAUUUCGAAUGUCCUUCUGCUAUACAUAUACUACAAAUAGAAUCUAGUAAUCUCAUAGUAUUAUAAGCGUAGAUAUUAAAGGCAUACUAGUGGGGAAGCUAGAAUUAUAGUGCAAACGAAUGCAAGCAAGAAAAUAACUCGCGUAAAAAUAAAUCGAUAAUUUCUCCUGAAUUACUCUUUACGAAGAUACAUAUAAGUAAGGCCAACCAUUUCUAUUCUCCAUUAAAAUGAAAGCGAUUCGCGAACCGAAAUUAAAUCUGAAAGUUAAGUUUAAUCUUUCGCAUACUUGCAAAUAUUAUUAAAGAAUUACUGUAGACAAAAAAUCAAUUGUCAACGAAGAUUAAGAUAUUUGCUUUAUCUCAAAUUUUGAACACGGUAUCGCGUCAUCUCUUUUAUGACAAAUUUCGAGAAAGAAGCUUCACAACAUCACUCGAUUAUUGAUUGUAACAAUUUUGUAAAUAAUUUUCAACCUCUCAAGCAAUGUUCGUUAUUCUUUUACUUCCGUACUGCGCGAUUUUAAUGGCUUCUAAUGUUCGCUGCGUAAUUGACAUCUCUUUUUGUGAAUGAUGAAAUUAAAAAGGUGUAAAGAUGGAAUUAAAAAUCGAGCGGGGGGAAAAAGGGAAAAUAAAAAUAAUGAGAUGUGAAUCAUCUAAAUGGAGCUACGAAGAAUAGAUAUAUAAAAAAAAUUCGUACUGUCCUUUGUUAGCAAAUUUAAUCGCGAUCAUUCACCGGCCAGCCUCAGUCAACUGGAUAGGAUGAGGGGAAUAGGGACGCCUUCAGUGUCAAGUUUUUUAAGCUGAAAGACCUUCUCGCUUCACGAAUCGGAGAAACGAAAAUAACUUGGCCUAACCGGUAGAAUUCGCUUAAACACUCGCUAUUUUCGAAACUACAUUUGUAACUGCACAUGGUGUCGCGUCGCGUCGGAUACGAUUAGAGCUGUAUAUGUUACAUCAAUUCGUACCAAGCAAUGGUUUUUAUCCAACUGAUUAACAUAUCUACGGACAUUUCCAAUCGUGCGAUUUGUAAUCGUUUUGUUCCGUACGACAUCAAAGUAAAUCGAUUUCAAUUACGUCAAUAUACGGUACAAAAGCCGUAAUCGAACUAGCAAACCCUUGUAAAACUGGGCAAGGACAUAUUCUCUUUUUGUUUCGUCGCAUUCACUAAUGUGAAACUAGAUCGUGCGUGACCGAUCCAAUAGAUCCAAAAAGCUCGAGCGCCGAUUCCGAUUUUUUGCUCAAAAUAACUAGUAUAGGUAUCCACAAACACGCACUUGUAUGUAAUAAGUAACCCGUUGCGUAACAAUCAAGGUAACAUACAGAUUUCUUGACCUAUAUUCCCAUCGCGUUUCAUCGCGCAGCGUCGCGAGUCUUUACGGCCACCACAAAUCAACCCUUGAUUUUCCAUUAGAUUUGAAUUUCCAGAAAAUUACGUUGAUAUUUAAGUGCGCGAUAAAUGCAUUUCUCGUACGUAACGAAAGCUGUACAAGUCAACGGAAAAAAUUGACUUAAUCAAGAGUAUCAUUUGAAUAUUUUUGCCAUUAUUUGCCUAAACGCAAUGACUAAUACGGCGCAUAUAUGCCGUAUGCGUUUGGAUACGUGGAUACGGUAAAUACGUAGAUAUCUGUGGCAACGCAACUGUAUCCGACAACGGAAUGAAACAGUAAUCGUUACCGUGUCUCGUUUCAUCCAAACCGACUAUUGUUUACAUUUAGCGUUUAGUAUUUAACGUAACGCAAGCUGAUGCUGCAUGCAUAACAUGCAUGAUGUGCGUCAAUCGGGUCGCGCGUCGAUUUCUUUCAGUUGACUUCUUUCAGUAGGUUAUUAAUAACGAGAAAAAUUAACAUUGCACAUUGUUAGCAUGUAUGUAUGUAUGAAUUGUGAAUUAUAAAUAAUUAAAUUAGCGCGUAAAAGAUCAUAGAUUAAUCGAUUUAUUCCUACAGCAAUAAUUUCUAUCAUUUUCCAUGCUAUUUUGCAUCGUUAUUCCCAUUUUAUGUGUGUUACGAGUUAUGAGUCAUAUUUUGAGUUGUUCUCACUUUUAUCGAUAACAGCGCUUUUAAUCAUAUAGUUUACUAUGUACCCAAAAGCAUUUUUAUCGAUAAAUAUGAGUUAAGAAUAUGGGUCAUUGAGGUUAACAAUCACUAUGAGCGAGGGCAGCCUAAGAUAACUCGUGAAAGAAACCGAAUAAAAACAUCAAAAACUGUUGACACGAAUCCACACGUGGAUUUACGCUACAAGGACUUCCAGCUAUGUGACAAACGAAUCGUUUCACUGCGUUUCACAAUUGGCGAUUCUAGAAGACACUUUACGCUCUUUAUGGCUCCCGAUCGAGUUUCUAUCGCGCGAAGCAAUAAAGGCGACAUUAUUCAUAUAAUACAGUCAUUAUCGCACAUAUCCUAAUACACAUGAAAAAAACACGAAAACUUAAAAAUAUAUAAAAAAUAUUUUUUUUUUUAACGAAGUCGUAACUUUUGACAUGUAAUCGAAGCUCGGAGCGUUCAUGGAGCAAAAAAAUUGUUUUAAUCACAAAAAAUACUAAAAUAUAUUUAUAAAUAAAACAAUAGAAUUGUAACACAAAACAAUUAAAAAAUAAACAAAUAACAAAAAAUAAAAAAUCUGAAACAAUUUUAACGAUUGCUUCUGCGUUUUGUGUAAAUAUAAUAAAUGCGAGGACAGUCUAAGACUAAUAGAGUAGAUAAAAAAUUAAGAUUGAAAAUAGGAUUGAUUUAUUUAAGAGAGUCAAAUUAAAUAUCUGCCAUCGAUGAUUCAACAAUCCGAUAAUAUCCCCCCUUCAUUAUGUAGAGAGAAAAAGAGGGAAAGAGAGGGAGGGGAGAGAGAAAACGGAGCGUGUCUGAUUCCACAAGAAUCAUAUAUUCAUACAUUGAGAGAAACGAGAGAGACGAUAAUCUCACGUAAAAACGAGUAAUAACUCGCAAAGAAAUUAUACGCGUGCAAGUUUAUUCGUGAGAUUUUACAUCAUUUCCGUACUAAAAAUAUUUAACACAAAGAAUAUAUAUCUUAUUGUAAAAGACUUUAUAUCAAAAAUAGCAAUAUUGUAACAUAAUUAUACACGACACGAUUAAUAAGCUGCAUGUUAAAAGAUAUAGAACACUGUGAAAACUGAAAAUAUUUUCUCUAAUUACCCCAUUUUUCAAAAGUAAACAUAUUCGCGUAAACACAUGCCUUGUUAUAAUAUUAAAAUUGCACAUGUAUAUCUUCACGUAUAUUAAUAUUAGCAAACUGGUGACACUUUAUAAUAGUGAUACUUUAAUUUCGUUCUAUGUAAAAAAUAACUUGGCAUAUAAUCAUAGUGAUUAUUUUUCAUAAUGAACGUAACUCACACUAAAGCAUUUUGCUUUCAUGUUUUAAUCAGCAAAAUUGAUACGAUUGAUACCUAUAUGAGCCAACUAGAAUUUUAUCGAUACUUGCGCGCGUGAUUAGGAGUGCCUGCGCAUAUCAUAGAUACGUACCGCGACCUUUCAUUGAUUCAGCGACACGUGCGUAAU
rnacentral:lncRNA from 1 species